rnacentral:misc_RNA from 1 species
AAGGAUUAAGCAUGAGCUCGAUGCAGGACGUGUCGAGUCAAGGAUGGGGUAUAAGGGUGAACAGCUUGUACUCAUCUAUGGAAAACUAAUUUUGCAGGAUGCAAUAGGGAAACGUCAUAGGAAGUGACUGGCUCUGUAAACGGAUUUACAGGUCAAAGGAUUGAGUGUUAUCUCGCGAAAGCUAGAUACACAGGGACAAAAAAGGAUUACAGGGAUGAUGCUGGACGCAAACAAACGCAUGGAUGGUGCAGGGAGCACAAAUCGAGCAGGAAGGCUUACAAAGGAUAAAUGGGGCGCACUAUGUUGCGCCCUUUUCUUUGG